rnacentral:rRNA from 1 species
UACAGAGGGGGCAAGCGUUGUUCGGAAUUACUGGGCGUAAAGGGCGCGUAGGCGGCCAUCUAAGUCGAACGUGAAAUCCCCGGGCUCAACCCGGGAACUGCGUCCGAUACUGGUUGGCUUGAAUCCGGGAGAGGGAUGCGGAAUUCCAGGUGUAGCGGUGAAAUGCGUAGAUAUCUGGAGGAACACCGGUGGCGAAGGCGGCAUCCUGGACCGGCAUCGACGCUGAGGCGCGAAAGCCAGGGGAGCAAAGCGGG